UCCCAAUCUAUCGUGCGAGUGU
rnacentral:miRNA from 1 species